rnacentral:lncRNA from 1 species
CCUAGAGCAAUAUAAACAUAGUAUUUAACAGAGUACAAAUGAAAUACAAAGUAGAAAUUAUGUUAUUGAAAUAAAAAUCACACAGUCUACAAGAGGAAUCUUCAAAAGGAGAGAGUCUCAUUACUGCUACAGAGUAACGACCCUAAUUGUUCUAAAGUGUAUGACACACCCAUCACCCACCAGUAAGAGCAUGUGGAUUGCUUCUUGCUACACCAAACAUAUCCCAAAUAUCUUGCUCGCAUCGGCCGGCUAAUGGAAAUUGACUUACUAAACGUGACAUUUGUGGUACUUCGUCUGCACUGGUUUGUGUAAAAAUGUAAAGAAGCGGCUUUUUCGCUCAAAAUUUGACUAAUUUUUUGAGCUUUUAUAAGUAGUAAAACUUUUCUAUAGUCAAAGUAAACCAAUUUGUGGAUUCAUUUGUAGCAUAAAAGCUAAGCCAAACAUGCUCUAAGAAAAAAAGAAUCAAUCUCUAAAACAUCCAAUGCCAAAGCCAAUGCCUAUGGUGAAAGUGCCUAACCAAAAACCCAUCUAUCACCAUUCAAAUUCACACAAUGAUCCAAGAAAUUAAAGUGUUUUAACUAACCUACUAAUAC